rnacentral:rRNA from 1 species
GGUUAAGCGACUAAGCGUACACGGUGGAUGCCCUGGCAGUCAGAGGCGAUGAAGGACGUGCUAAUCUGCGAUAAGCGUCGGUAAGGUGAUAUGAACCGUUAUAACCGGCGAUUUCCGAAUGGGGAAACCCAGUGUGUUUCGACACACUAUCAUUAACUGAAUCCAUAGGUUAAUGAGGCGAACCGGGGGAACUGAAACAUCUAAGUACCCCGAGGAAAAGAAAUCAACCGAGAUUCCCCCAGUAGCGGCGAGCGAACGGGGAGCAGCCCAGAGCCUGAAUCAGUGUGUGUGUUAGUGGAAGCGUCUGGAAAGGCGCGCGAUACAGGGUGACAGCCCCGUACACAAAAAUGCACAUGCUGUGAGCUCGAUGAGUAGGGCGGGACACGUGGUAUCCUGUCUGAAUAUGGGGGGACCAUCCUCCAAGGCUAAAUACUCCUGACUGACCGAUAGUGAACCAGUACCGUGAGGGAAAGGCGAAAAGAACCCCGGCGAGGGGAGUGAAAAAGAACCUGAAACCGUGUACGUACAAGCAGUGGGAGCACGCUUAGGCGUGUGACUGCGUACCUUUUGUAUAAUGGGUCAGCGACUUAUAUUCUGUAGCAAGGUUAACCGAAUAGGGGAGCCGAAGGGAAACCGAGUCUUAACUGGGCGUUAAGUUGCAGGGUAUAGACCCGAAACCCGGUGAUCUAGCCAUGGGCAGGUUGAAGGUUGGGUAACACUAACUGGAGGACCGAACCGACUAAUGUUGAAAAAUUAGCGGAUGACUUGUGGCUGGGGGUGAAAGGCCAAUCAAACCGGGAGAUAGCUGGUUCUCCCCGAAAGCUAUUUAGGUAGCGCCUCGUGAAUUCAUCUCCGGGGGUAGAGCACUGUUUCGGCAAGGGGGUCAUCCCGACUUACCAACCCGAUGCAAACUGCGAAUACCGGAGAAUGUUAUCACGGGAGACACACGGCGGGUGCUAACGUCCGUCGUGAAGAGGGAAACAACCCAGACCGCCAGCUAAGGUCCCAAAGUCAUGGUUAAGUGGGAAACGAUGUGGGAAGGCCCAGACAGCCAGGAUGUUGGCUUAGAAGCAGCCAUCAUUUAAAGAAAGCGUAAUAGCUCACUGGUCGAGUCGGCCUGCGCGGAAGAUGUAACGGGGCUAAACCAUGCACCGAAGCUGCGGCAGCGACGCUUAUGCGUUGUUGGGUAGGGGAGCGUUCUGUAAGCCUGUGAAGGUGUGCUGUGAGGCAUGCUGGAGGUAUCAGAAGUGCGAAUGCUGACAUAAGUAACGAUAAAGCGGGUGAAAAGCCCGCUCGCCGGAAGACCAAGGGUUCCUGUCCAACGUUAAUCGGGGCAGGGUGAGUCGACCCCUAAGGCGAGGCCGAAAGGCGUAGUCGAUGGGAAACAGGUUAAUAUUCCUGUACUUGGUGUUACUGCGAAGGGGGGACGGAGAAGGCUAUGUUGGCCGGGCGACGGUUGUCCCGGUUUAAGCGUGUAGG